rnacentral:rRNA from 1 species
CCUACGGGUGGCUGCAGUGGGGAAUAUUGCACAAUGGGGGAAACCCUGAUGCAGCAACGCCGCGUGAGUGAAGAAGUAUUUCGGUAUGUAAAGCUCUAUCAGCAGGGAAGAAGAAGACGGUACCUGAAGAAGAAGCCGCGGCUAACUACGUGACAGCAGCCGCGGUAAUACGUAGGGGGCAAGCGUUAUCCGGAUUUACUGGGUGUAAAGGGAGUGCAGAGGGCAGUGCAAGUCUGGAGUGAAAGCCAGGGGGCCAACCCCGGAACUGCUCUGGAAACUGGGCGGCUAGAGUACUGGAGGGGCAGGCGGAAUGCGUAGUGUAGCGGUGAAAUGCGUAGAUAUUAGGAGGAACACCAGUGGCGAAGGCGGCCUGCUGGACAGUAACUGACGUUGAGGCUCGAAAGCGUGGGUAGCAAACAGGAUUAGAUACCCCUGUAGUC